rnacentral:tRNA from 1 species
GGUCCCUUAGCUCAGUCGGUUAGAGCAUCGGACUCAUAAUCCGCGGGUCGCAGGUUCAAGUCCUGCAGGGACCACCA